rnacentral:rRNA from 1 species
ACGAACGCUGGCGGCGUGCUUAACACAUGCAAGUCGAACGGUGAAGGGAUCAGCUUGCUGGUUCUGGAUGAGUGGCGAACGGGUGAGUAACACGUGAGUAACCUGCCCCCUUCUUCUGGAUAACCGCAUGAAAGUGUGGCUAAUACGGGAUAUUCUGCGCCUGCUGCAUGGUGGGUGUGGGAAAGAUAUUGUUUCGGUGGGGGAUGGGCUCGCGGCCUAUCAGCUUGUUGGUGGGGUGAUGGCCUACCAAGGCGGUGACGGGUAGCCGGCCUGAGAGGGUGGACGGUCACACUGGGACUGAGACACGGCCCAGACUCCUACGGGAGGCAGCAGUGGGGAAUAUUGCACAAUGGGCGCAAGCCUGAUGCAGCGACGCCGCGUGAGGGAUGGAGGCCUUCGGGUUGUGAACCUCUCUCGCCAGUGAAGCAGGCCUGUCCCUUGUGGGUGGGUUGACGGUAGCUGGAUAAGAAGCGCCGGCUAACUACGUG